UCCUACGGGAGGCAGCAGUGGGGAAUAUUGCGCAAUGGGGGGAACCCUGACGCAGCCAUGCCGCGUGAAUGAAGAAGGCCUUCGGGUUGUAAAGUUCUUUCGGUAAUGAGGAAGGGAUGUUGUUAAAUAGAUAGCAUCAUUGACGUUAAUUACAGAAGAAGCACCGGCUAACUCCGUGCCAGCAGCCGCGGUAAUACGGAGGGUGCGAGCGUUAAUCGGAAUAACUGGGCGUAAAGGGCACGCAGGCGGACUUUUAAGUGAGAUGUGAAAUCCCCGAGCUUAACUUGGGAACUGCAUUUCAGACUGGGAGUCUAGAGUACUUUAGGGAGGGGUAGAAUUCCACGCGUAGCGGUGAAAUGCGUAGAGAUGUGGAGGAAUACCGAAGGCGAAGGCAGCCCCUUGGGAAUGUACUGACGCUCAUGUGCGAAAGCGUGGGGAGCAAACAGGAUUAGAUACCCUGGUAGUC
rnacentral:rRNA from 1 species